rnacentral:rRNA from 1 species
GGUGAGUAACACGUGGAUAACCUACCUAUAAGACUGGGAUAACUUCGGGAAACCGGAGCUAAUACCGGAUAAUAUAUUGAACCGCAUGGUUCAAUAGUGAAAGACGGUUUUGCUGUCACUUAUAGAUGGAUCCGCGCCGCAUUAGCUAGUUGGUAAGGUAACGGCUUACCAAGGCAACGACGCGUAGCCGACCUGAGAGGGUGAUCGGCCACACUGGAACUGAGACACGGUCCAG